rnacentral:rRNA from 1 species
UGCUUAAUGAAAUUUUAUUAAGUAAAGUCUGCUCAAUGAAUUUUAAAUAGCUGCAAUUAUAUUGUACUAAGGUAGCAUAAUCACUUGUUUUUUAAUUAAAAACUAGAAUGAAAGACUUAACAUUUUAAUUUUUUUAUUAAAAUUAUUUUAUUUAAUUUAUAUUAAAUGUUAAAAUACAUUUAUAAAAUAAAAAGACGACAAGACCCUAUUGAAUUUCACUAUUGUUUGGCUGGGGCAGCCUUAAAAAAUUAAUUUUUUAUAAUAUUUUAUUUAAUAAAUAAGAUCCAAUAUUAUUGAUUUUUUGAUUAAAUUACCAUAGGGAUAACAGCGCUAUUUUUUUUUAAAGCUCUUAUUUAAAAAAUCAAUUGCGACCUCGAUGUUGAAUUAAUUUUCUAUUUUAUGCAACAAUAAAAUAAGAAGGUCUGUUCGACCUUUAAAUCAUUACAU